rnacentral:lncRNA from 1 species
GUAAAGCCCAUAAUAGACUAAGAUGUCAAAUGAAUACCUGGCGAACACUCAAAGCCCAAUUGCAUGAAUCCAAAUUAACUAAUUAAACAAUACUUUAGUUCUUCAUAAGAGAUUAAAAUAAUAAAAGCUAUUCUCAAACUUUGCAAAAAAAACUUGGACUAAUGCAAAAAAGGUUUCAUGCUAUUAAAUUCCAUCCUACAAUUAACCAUAUACUGAGGUGACCAUAAACUCGUAUACUAUUAACUUCAUUCCCAGAAUAAUUCAAGACCUAUGGCCAAACAACGACACAAUUCUUAAACAAAGAAAACAUCGACUAACAUGAGCCUUAGAUGAACAUUUUUGGUUUCAAAUCUAUGCUGGUCACUUUGGAAAACUCAAUCGACAGUCAAUCCCAAAAUAAAUGCUAAUUUCAUCUUGAGUAAAAUAUAUCUAAACAUAUGUGAAUCGAUUAAACCUUCUAAUGCCAUAAUUCACAAAAAACCCAUAUACAUUCAAACCAUGCUUCAAUAGCCUCACACCCUAAACUACUGGAUUGGAACAAGUAUUAGAGUUUACAUAUCAAAUUUAAUCUUGUAACAUUGUAUCUAAUAACAUAAAAGGAGAAAAUCAUACAUGAGAAAGAACUAACUUAAUACAGAUUUGAUUGAAUUCCAACUACAAAAGAUAAACUGAUCAAAUGUAUAAGCCCAAAGCUUCCUACUCAAAUAAUAACAGAAAGUAUUUCAUUUCACCAUGCCAAAUAAUGUUCAGUAAAUACCUUGUUACAACAAAUAAACAAGGAAAUUCUGAGGUUAAGAAAGAGCAGCAACAGUAAAUCAGCAAAAAUGGAACCAAACGAUAGUGAUUUCAGCCAAGACCAAGCAGCAAAAACAACUUUCAAACCAUUUCAUGAUUUCCAAAUGAAUGAGAAACAUUUUGAAAGUUAUAAGUAUCGAAGUUCAAAAACCCAAACCAGAACCAAAUUGAAUAAGGAAAUGCAGAAAAUUCGGUGUUGUUCUUGCGUCGUUUGCCUUUUUUUCAAAAAUUUUAUUCUUUAAUUUCUGGCUUGUAAGUGAAGAAAGAGUGCCUUUAUAGGCAAGCCUUAGGGAAGCAUAAAAUGGAUUCAGUUUUGUAGAUUAGUCCUUUUAGAAUUUUUAUUUUUGCUCUCAUGUCUUUAAGUUAAAAAUCAGUUUUCUGAAUCAGUCCCAAUCUCGGGUUCUAGGAAGCUUCCCUAUACAGUUACAUGAGAUUCCUCACCUAAAAUUCAAAAUCACCCCUUAGGACCCCUGUUUUUAUCCCCAGAAACCAUGGGUAAAGUUGACCCAGUAAAAUAAACCCAACUGAAUGGGCUGUACUUGACAUUGGGUCAUUAAUGACCUUGAAGCCCAAACUAAAAUCUGAAAUCCAAUUGGUAAUUCAAUGAGGAACAUGAUAAUGACUUGGAUGCUUUCAAAAACUAAAAAAUCUAACUAAUGAUUGAAUUCUCUUUUUUUUUAAAAACUAAUCUAAUGAGCUAUAAUUGACUAAAUGACCAAAAUAACACAAAGUCCCAUCGGGCUGGAUAUCGAACUAAAACAAAAAAUCAGAAGCUAAAAGGUAGAAUGCAUAGACCAACAUAAUUAACCAGACUUUAAAAAAAAUAAACAAAGAAAAUCUAAAAUCAGAAGUUAAUAAGAAAUUUACUAAAUUUAUCAGAAGAAAACUAAACUUAAAGAAAAGAUAGAAGAAAAAGAGAAUAACAGAUGUGAAACAACAUAAAAAGACAAACAAAAUAAAAAGAAAUGCAGAAACUUACCAAGUAUACUCGCAAUCGAUAUUGAUACUCCAACUUAACCCAAGAUAAUGUUAAUCGUUUUUCUCAAGAACCAACAAUCAUCAUUAUUUUGUGGUAAGAUAUCCUUGAAAAACUCAGGAAACUCGAGAAAUAGCCUUGCAUGCAACCAAUUCGAGAAUAGGCAUUUUUUGGUUUUUUAGGGCUUGAACUCAGAUUCAAGAUUCAAUGUGUUCGGGAUAGAUUCGAGGGAAAAGAAUGAGAGAUUUAGGGAGAGGGAACCGUGGGGAUUUCAUGGUGUUGAUUUAGGACUGGUCUGAGGCGGCAGUACCACUGGAGAGGUGGAGGAUUUGGGGGCAGCGCUAGGGUUUGGAGAGUGGUCUUUGAAGAGAAGAGGUGAUGAGAGAUGGGGGAAGGGGAGGGGUCGAACCUUCAGACAAUUUUAUACUGUCGAGUAACCCAGUUCCCAACCAUUGGAUUUAAAGAGAUCAAACGGCUCGGAUUAGGGAUCAAAACGCGGUUGUUUGGGUCGCCGAG